CAGUCUGUCGAUAUAAGGUGCGUAUUAAAAAACCGCGGAUAAGGAAUUAUUGAAUCGCAUAUUUUUGUAUCUUGGUUUCCUAUAGCUACAAAAAAUUAUAUUAAUAUAAUGUUCUUAUUUCAGUAUAUAUAUAAUUGGUUUCUUUCCGCAUAUAUAUAUAUAUAUAUAUCCGCUUUUAUAUAACUCAUCUAUUAUAACCGUAUAUAAGCUGGCGUUUAUACAUACGGUAUAAUCGUCGUCUACAAUAAAAAAUUGAAAAAAAAAAACGUCUAGGUCAAUGAAAAAUGCAAGGCUGAGUUUUCAACGAAAAUUCUUUAAAUAUGAUCGCACAGACAAGGGUAAAAUGGAGUAUCGUAAAAAUAUGACAACGUCGCAAUGUAUGCCGUACAAAAGAAAAGGACGAUCAAAGUGACGCGUCAAGAGCUCUCUGCCGACGCGCAAAAUGUAGGGAGGGAGUGACCGCGUUGCAAAUAACAACGCCAAUGGCUUCAGCAGAAAAAUUGGAUUUUCAUUUAUUUUGUGGCAAUAAUCAAAUAAUACCUGUAUAAUUAUUAAAAUAUGUUACGCGUUGUUGACCUCUGCUAAAUUUCAACAAUAAAUAACGACUCUAUGUUGUAUAAGAAGUGGAAAUAAUGUGGAACUACUUUUUAUCGAUCCCGCGUAGUAACACAGUAUUCUUGGAUGACGAGGGGUAUAUAAAGCCCCACCCGGUGGCUCAUGAACGGCAUUCCUCAGAGCUAUCUGAAGCGGUGAAGACUGUAUCUCGCUCAACCGUAGCUUCGUAUAUCCCUCGUUUUAGAGGAUCUACAGUCAAAGGAUUUCUUUAGUUUUUUUUUUUUUUGUAAAUUCAGUUCUCAAAUGAUCAAUUCGUAACUUGCCCGAACACGAAGUGACGGAAAAGUGUGCCUCCACAACGAAAAAAUACGAGCUAGCUACAGUCUCCGCGCCGUUUGACAUGGCAAUGAGGGUCAAUGCGACGGGGGGAGAGAAAGAGAGAGGGAGAAUGAAAGGGAGGGAGUUUGAGAGAUGGGUGGAAUAUCUCGAAGAAUGAACCAGUUUGAGUGACAUCAUGAUCAACUACCGAGAUGUCAACCCGGGCGGCUUACCAUAACUGGGAGUGACAGAAUGAGAGGCGGCUGUGCUGCGCCCCCAGUUCGCUAUCGACGAUCCUACUGUUUGUAUUGGCUUCUCAUCAUCCUAGAAAUUCCUAUUGUGAGAGUGAGAGAAUAUGGGCAUGAAACGUAAUCUUCCGAUGCUGUCUGACCGUCGUCUUCUUAUCUGGCCUGUUGCUGCCGCCUAUAUAAGUCUACAUAAAAUACCGAAAUUGAAAGUUUGAAAAACAAUAUACAAAUGCGACCUCGGUGAGGAAUUUCUUUUUUUGUUCUGAGUUCUGGGAAUACUUGAUUGCGCAACGGGGGGCAAGAGAGGGGAGGAAGGAAAUCUGUGUUUUCUAGAAGUUGGACAAAGCUUGACUCGAGGUUGGUGGCACGUUUGUUGAAGAACUGCGAAAGGGAGAGAGAGAGGGAGAGAGGGAGGGACAGACAAAAACGAAAAAAUAUAGGUUCGACGCGACGAAUUCUAACGCUGUUUCAACCGCACCCGAGCACGAAUAAACAAAGAAACGGUUAUUUGUCCUUCGCACCCACACGUUCUUCUUCAUCAUCGCACUAUACCAUGAUCGAACCGAGACGAACAAUAGAAAAAACCAAAUCAUAGAAGCGUGACAAUCACGCGAUACGGCAAAAACAAAGCUGAUUACAGCUUGGUGAGCUGAUUCCAUGUUAAUUUUGAAAAUUUCCUUUGGCCACGAAUAUCCGCCUCGUGGAAGAAAGUAGUAGUCUUUUCCCAGGUACGAAGACAAUUUGGCUCCUUGGCAUUUCAUCCAAGAAUCAUGGAGAUCUGCUUCGCAAGCCGCGCCUGUCCAAGCCGUUGAGAAAAUUUCGGGCUUUUCUCGCCCGAAUCGUCAUCAACUCAUCGGCAAUUGGGACGCGCACCCGUGGUGGUUCUACAACUGCCGAUAUCCGCCCACACAACCCGUGACAUUCGAUCAUAAACAAAAAAAAUAACAGAUAAUAUGGUUCUCAGGUAUUCAGGAAUUUAUGCAUGAAACGUUUUAUGAAAAGAGUCACGAGAAUGAACAGUCUUUUGACGAAAAAAAUUCAUUAGAAAAUUCUUCAUAUUCGCCACAAAGAAUUUGUGCUAAAUAUUGUACUUAUAUGCGUGGACACGUCUACAUUCAAGUUUAUAACAGGAUCAAUCGUCUUUCGUUUAACCUCUAAGAAAUUUAAAAAAUGAAAAAAAAAAAAAAUCCCUAUGAGGGGACGUCGCAAUAACGAUAUUUUCACAGAUCACGAAAGGGGAUGGUGGCCUGAGUUUGCACGGAGCUAUUUGGCGAUUAUCCGGGUGCCAAGAUAGAUCGAAAAAAAGAGAGAGAGAGAGAGAGAAAAAAACAAGUGUGUUGCGCGUUAGUGGUGUGUUCUAGAUCGAAGGGAGAACCGGCGAAUUUCUCACGUUCAAAAUUCAUCCUGCCAGAGGAUUGUACCGAGCGGCGGUCAGUGCACAGUCGAGCGAAUGAAUUAUAGUACGGAGGAGGUACACGUGUCUUACAAUCAUUUAAUUUAAAAAAAACUAUUCCAUAUCGAGAACUUGACAUAAACCUACGAUAUCGUGCACUCUGUCACUAUUUUUGUUGCUAUCGUGUAAGGGGGAGCGGGGGGAAUUCUGUGAACAAGUUAUUUUCACUUCAGCACAAUUCGAGCAUAAAACACCGGAUUGGUGGAAACCAGAACAGCACCCCUUGAUGAUCUCUCUUCAGGAUGACGCAAAGUUGGAGACGCAAGACCCAACCGAUCCCGAAUCGUUACGUAAAAGCUUAAUUUAUAUCCCAUUUGACACAGUGGUAACAAUAACAACUUGGAUUUGAAAAAAGAUGGUACCGAACAUGUGGGCUGGGAAAACUGGGAAAACGCUUAUUUUUAGUCGCAGGAAGAACGGCAUUUGUUGUAAAAAACGAAAACAGAGAAGAAGAACGGGAGUAAGGGCGGACUGUGCGCAACAAAGAAUAUAAGGCAAGUCGCAUGAGAGGAUACGCGUCGAUGUGGGUUGAGAACGAUGCGAGUACACUUAGGAGCAAUCUGCGCGUCUGAAACCUCGAAGGUAUAAUUGAGGGUUCAAAAAUGAAUCGGGAGGGGGAAAUCUGGGGUCUUUGUUUUUCAUCGCCGCAGGAAUAAGUCGUACCCGUGGACUGGCGAUCUGUUCGAGCGGGUGUUAAAGAGAGAGGGUAUUUUUAUCGCUGCGUCGGAUGAUACACCUUAGAACCAUGUCCGUGAGCUGAUCAUACAUUUUUCUCGAGCAUACGCACACAUAUCAUUCGGACGAGAAGGUGAUCCGGAAAUCUGACAAGUAACUGAACAAAUUGGGUUGACCGAUAAAUUUUAAUCGCGAUGAGUAUAAAAACACCAACUGCUGACGAUAUAUUAGUGAGAAACAGUAAAAUUUUAUCUUAACAUCUAGCAACUAAGUAAAUUUCUGGGCCUCUGCAUGUCGUCUUGUUUAUGAUUCUUUUUUUUUUUGUCAUUUUCAUCUGUUGAAGUAUCGUCUGCAAUAAUCCAUCGUUGAAAUAUCUCCUAACCAUGGUGUCAUGUUAUUUGAUUGUUGACGAUGUAUUGGGGCGGGAAUUUCAACGUCGGGCAACGAAAACAAAUUUUGUUUUUUGAGCCACAGGAUCUGCGAUGCGAGCGCAUACGCGUUAAUGGCUCUGGCGCCUUAGGGCACAGACGGUGGAUAGAGAACUCCGAGCCGGAAAUGACGAAAAAUCGAGGGUAGGCGGGAGAGAGAGAGAGAGAGAGAGAGAAUAUCCCAAAAAAAUCACCAAUACGUGAGAACCAUACACGAACAUUUUCAUAUUAAUCAUUCUACAAGGAAUAUACGAGAAAAAUUACAAUUUAUGGUCGAUAUUUUGGUCACGUGCAAACAUUUUUUUUUCAUCUUAUGGCUCGAAGAUGCUUGUUACAUUAUUCUCCGAUGUCUUGUGAAAUUUAUUUCUCAGAUAUUGCGUGGCCAUUAUUAACUUUUCGAUGAGAAAUUUGUUGAUCCGAGAAAGCAAACGAGGUAACACUCUACUGAACUUUUCUUUCGUAAACAUAUACAUUUAUCUACUGAUACGAAUAUUGCGAUCGUAGAUAGAGAUAUUCAGAAUUGGCUUUCUAGUAGCGAAUUUCUAACUAUUGUUUGUAUAUUUUUUGUAUUUUAUCAGAACAAUCGUGUAGCAUCGCAUGAGUGUUCCAGUCACCAUGAUUUUAUUCGAGCUUCGUGCUUUGUCGGGGAUGCCCUUCGUUUUUUGUUUAUUUUUAGUAACUUUAAGCGAAGAUUAAUAUGAGAGAUAUAGCAACUGCGAUCGUCAAGUGACGAUCAAGGAAUGAGACAAGUAGAACGAAAAAUUACAGACCAAAGAUAUAACAGGCUGUCUCGAUAAUGGAAGAAUAACGGAAAGAAACACGAGAACUUUGGAACGUAUGAAAUUAUGUCCAAUUCUUUGGCGAAAAUAUGUCGGAUAGAUCUACCGUUUGUCAUCCAGGUAAUCGAAGAAUUUUCGCAAGCGGGUUUUAUGGGGAGGGCAUAUUAAUAAUUUUUUUUUUAGAGAGCACAAAAGAAAAUUCUAGGUUGAUGCUUUGAUGAUGAAUAGAGGCUUGAAAAGAUAAUUUUCAUCGAGUUACGAAAUUUCAAACUAUAUCGGACCCAGAGAAACAAACCGAAUGCAGUGUAUUUUAUUGAUUUACUCGAGCGAAAAGCACGCACGCUUAUUAAAAGUCUGGAAAAUGGAUUAACAGAGGUUUCUGUUGCCUGGAUUAAUAUCGAUUGCCAUUGUUGAGAACGAAACAAUAAUCACACUCCGGGCACCGUUCGCUGAAGAAAAUUCUGCGCGCUCACGUUUUGUUGAAUGAAAAAAAAACAAUACGAAUCGUCCGCACCAAAGAGAUUCCAGUUCAGUUUGACACCGCAUUCGUCACAACCGACGACCGUUCUUUUUUUCAUCAUAAAAGUAUUUAUGAUCCCAAGUGGCCCCACUUUCAGCUCCCUUUUGUUUUACAUUCGGUGUUACAAUAAUUCAACUUCUAUUGUCAAAAGUUGAGGAAUUCAAUUUUUGAUAUGUCAGCAAAUUAGAAAAAAUUGUGAUUGUUCUUUCUAUUUAUGAAUUUGUUAUCGCCAAAAAGUUUGAAGCUUAAAAUAGUGAAAUUGAAAGUUGUGUUGUGCCGCAGUAACUCUAAUAUCUGAUUGUGCAGGUUACAAAAGUUUAAUCAUUGAAUGUGUCAAGUUUUAUCGUCAAAAACAUUCCAAAAACGAAAAUGGUAUAGCCCGUCGCAAAUUAUUAGAUGUUCUCGGCUUUUGAGCAUCCAUGCUCAAACUUACUUUUGAUGAGAAUGAUUACGAGCUUCUGAUGUGAAAUUUCAUUUAAUUUACACGUCUGAAACUAAGCGAUCCCAGAACACGUGGAUGCGUUUAUUAAUUGGUGCGAAUUCCAAUGUUAUCCUCCAAACCAUAAUUCUUGGUGAGGCUGAAACAAGAGAGUGGCUGCGGAACUGGACGAACUAGAAACUUGCGUUACAAGUGGCUUUGUUGCUAGAAGAAUUCGGUGAGUGGUUUUAUUAAAAAACAAACGAAAAAAUGAACUCGCACCUUUCCCGGCAGUCGAAAGUAAUUAACAUAGCAUUGUAAACAUAACUACGAAUUUUACGAUAUCUUGUUAAUACGAGUAGUGUAUCGUAUAUAUUUUGUUCUAGUACGCUGUUCUGUAUUGCGCGUAUAGCCCCAAAUAUUUUGCUUGAAGAAUGUGUCGAUUUAUCAAAAUUUUUUUUUGACAAAAAGGAGAAAAAAAAUAUCGUGUGCGAUGCCCAGUGGGAUUGAAUGGUAUAUGACAAUCAGUCGUUAUUGUCCAAAGUAUUUUGUACUAAUGUACUCGCACAUUUCGUCUGGGUCUCAAUAAAUCAUGUUUUAUGUGGUGGGGUUGGGCUGGGGGCUACUAAUUUUCUUGAUCCGUAUUUUUAAAGGUAUUUCAGAAGAUGAAAAACCGUACUCUGCGAUUCAAUAUUAGUAUCAUUGAAGAAAAGAAAGCUGUCAUCUGGUAAUGCACAUGAGUGCAUUACCACAUGCGCAUGCAUGAAUGUACUUGGCCAUAUCGAGCGACUUCUUUGGCGACAUUGUCGACUUUUGAAAAUGGAGCAUGCUAUGUGGUUUCGUCACCUUUAGAUGCAUCUGUAAUAUUGAGAUCGUUUGGAUUUUUGCGCGGAUACAUCGUGCGGCGAUAAGAUAUAACAGAAAGAAGGCGAGAGAAAACUAUCGACGCGCAUACCGUAAGGUCUUUUGACACGAAGAAAGUUGUUAUCUCUAUGGUGCACCGAUUUUCAUUUAUCUACUCUCGUCACGUAUCUACGUUAUGAAUUCUCUUGUUGACCAUACUCGAAGUAUUACGACGUCUAGCUACCGAAAGGAUUUGCGAGAACGAGACAAACAAAACCAAAUAUUUCACCGUCCCUUAGCCAACAAGGUACGCACUUAAGAUGUUAUAAAUGAUUCCUGUUGGAAGAAUAAUUUGGCUCACAUAUAUGAUAGACAUCAAAUCGUUGCACGAAAUUGGUCCGAUGUUUGUGGCUGAUGGCUGAAAAAUGAGGGAAAAUGAGUUUUGGAAAGUUAUGCAUUGUUUUUCCGGUGCUGGGCAACCAGCAACGAUAUUCGUUUUUUUGGCACUGUUUUAACAUAGAUAUCUCGUAAAUUCCGGAUGGAUACGGACGUCCAAAGACAAGCCAAACCAACGAAGAUCAGAUCGACCGAGUUUGGGAAAACUUUGAAGAAUUUCAAUGUUUGACGAUUUUCUCGGGCGGACUAGAAGACACCCGUAUGUUUUUAAUUCAUUUAAAGGCGAGUCCCCAUAAUUACCUAUGAAGCUAAACAAAAAAGCAACGGGACGCGGCUACAAUGUGAGGCAGCAUCGGAAACGAUAGGCGAUAUGCACGUUUUUUUCCUUCUACGAUUCCAAGUCAAGAGCGAAACGGAGGUGCACUCUCCUUUCUUGAGUAGGGUGGAUAUGAGAAAUUUAUGCGGGUACGUGGAAGAUGGAAAAUCCCUGAUGCCGAUUGACCGAAUACUGCGAAAUCCGUGAGAAAGGCGCACCUGUGCGAUUUACGUGAGUUUACAACCCUUUGCCCUUUUAUUUUUCGAUCCCUCACCUUGUGCCCGUUCUUUAACAAAGUGUUUUAGAAAACUUGCACCGAAACCUUGCACGAUAAGCUGAGAAAUAUUGUUAAGGCUCCAUAUAUCCACUUCGGAGAACACAGUAUUAUUAUCUGUGAAAGAUAACGAGAAAAAGGUUCAACGCUGGCGAUCCAAUAUACCCGAUUGCGGUCUUCUGACGGGUUUUUGGUCUUCUCAUCUUCACUCUUCAGUUCUCUUAGCAUUGGUGGGCGCCGCGAUGAAAGCACAAAAUUCCGAAUGGGACGUUUCCAGCUGCUUCGAAUUUCUUUGAGUUUCAAUGGAUUGGCUGAUUAAACGGUCUUCAAUCCUAAAAAGAAUCCUGUCUCCCAACUUUCUCAGCAGUAAAGAUCUUCCGGAUCGAUUCGGCAGGUGUUGCAGCAAUUGCAAGACUUUUCAGGGCUGAUGAUACCAAUUGAGCGUGAUCCUCGAUACGAAAAACGGAUAUUGUUCAGAGAACGGGUUAUUCAACUGUUCUGCUCUCUUUACGUUCUGCGCGAGAUGACUGCGCUCUUGUCUUUCCUUCCAAGGUUACUUUUCCGAUAAUUGCCGAAGCUUCGACCGUCAUUGCAAAUCAUCUUCCUGAUCGUCGCAUCUUGAUCUUCUUUGUCAUCUCGCGAGUCUGUGGUUUAUGUUGAGCGGCGUCUGUCGUAACGGAUGGUCUGGACCUUCGGCCUGUGUGUUUUGCGGAUUUCGUUGAUUGACAACUAAUGCUGCGUAAAAAACUUCAUUUGACUAGAAGAGACAUCGCCUCACCAAAAUCAAAAGAUUAUUUGUGCGAAACUACUCGGAGAGCUCAAUUUUCUGUUCAUCAUUAUCCUUCCUUCUGCAAAUAAAUAAACGACAAGAAGAAUACCCGGACCUUCCUGUUCCAUUCCGGAUCAAUCUGCUGAAAAAUUCUUUGUCACAAAAAAAACAUCUUUAAAGUACUUCGUACGUCCUGUUUAGAAAAAUACAUAAAAAAAAAUAUAAAAAUGAAGAAAUAUAUACACAAAAAGAUGAAAAAAAACGAAAAAACGAAUAAAAAAAUGUAAAAAAAAAUUGAAUUGAAAAAAAAAACGCUACACGUAUGAAAACAGUAAAACAUGUAUGUUCAAGGGAACAAAAAGUUACUUACAAAAAAAGCAAAAUAAAUGGAUGUGAGGAUUAGGAAAAGAUGUGGAAUGGGCUUUCAGGUACUAGAUACAAGUAAAUCGCCACCAGAAAGGAUCUCCAUGAUGGAAUACUGUCAACAAAAGUUUCGACAGUCGAAGAUUCACUAUACGCAUCUUUAACGAGAUUUUCCGGAUUCGAUUUCAACGACAAGUGAUCUUCUAGAUAGGACAUGGAGAGCUUCUGGGUUCGACUUCAACGACGAGUGAUCUUCUAUGCUGGGCAUCGACAACGAGGGAUCUUCUGAAUGAGGAACAUUAACAGCGCGGGAUCUUCUGGAUUGGACUUCAACGACGAGUGAUCUUCUAGACUGGGCAUCGACGACGAGGGAUCUUCUGAAUGGGGGACAUCAACAGCGCGGUAUCUUGUGGAUUGGACUUCAACGACGAGGGAUCUUUUGAAUGAGGGACAUCAACAGCGCGGGAUCUUCUGGAUUGGACUUAAACGACGAGCGAUCUUCUGAAUGGGGGACAUCAACAGCGCGGGAUCUUCUGGAUUGGACUUCAACGACGAGCGAUCUUUUAGACUGGGCAUCGACGACGAGGGAUCUUCUGGAUUGGACUUCAACGACGAGUGAUCUUCUAGACUGGGCAUCGACGACGAGGGAUCUUCUGAAUGGGGGACAUCAACAGCGCGGUAUCUUGUGGAUUGGACUUCAACGACGAGGGAUCUUUUGAAUGAGGGACAUCAACAGCGCGGGAUCUUCUGGAUUGGACUUAAACGACGAGCGAUCUUCUGAAUGGGGGACAUCAACAGCGCGGGAUCUUCUGGAUUGGACUUCAACGACGAGUGAUCUUCUAUACUGGGCAUCGACGACGAGAGAUCUUCUGAAUGGGGGACAUCAACAGCGCGGGAUCUUGUGGAUUGGACUUCAACGACGAGCGAUCUUCUAGACUGGACAUCGACGACGAGGGUUCUUCUGGACGGGAUACAUCGACCGCAAGGGAUCUUCUCAACUGGGGACAUUGACGGCGAGGGAUUGUCUGGACGGGCGACAUCGACGACGCUGGAUUUUUCGAUGGGGGACAUCGACGCCGCGCAAGAUUUCUUAGAAUUUCUGGUCUAGACAUCGAUGACUCGAGAAUUCCAGAAUCGGAAAUCGACGAUGCGGCUGUUUCAGGAUUGGACAUCAAGGAUCUAAAAACGGACAUAAAGGACUUUAUUAGUUUGAAUACCGGUGAUGGAAACUUCCCGAACGGGCAGCGUUCCGCAAAUCUUAUGGAUUCAAUGACAACUUUGUCCGUUCAAAAUCGACUACAAGGAUAUCUCAGCUUCUCGGAUUAAACAGUUAUAGAACCGAAUUAUUGUUCUCGAUAACGUAUAUCGACACGGAACUUAAUAGGAUAGCUGAUCUGAGACGGACCAUCACCAAACUUUGCGGAAUUUUUUUUUGUUCUGAGGAGAAAGCCAAUGAUGAGGAACAGGACGAUCAUCAUGAGCAUUUCAUGGAUCGUAGAUUGGCCGUAGAUUUUUCCAAAGCUUCGUUCUCGAAUUGAUCUACUGUAAUAUAAAUUCAAAUUCUCUAAUAUGUUAAAAAUCCAUGUCUGCAUUCAUGAUAUUGGAUUGGAGAAAAAAAAAUAGAAAAUGAAAAAAAAAAACAAAGGAAAAAAAUUAAAAUUAAAAAAAAGAAAGAGUGAAAAAAAAAUAAAAUACAUGAAGUGUAACUAAAAUUUGAGAAAUAACGUAGAAUUCAAUCAAAAAAUGGCAUGGCAAAUAAUGGAAAUAAGUGUUAAACGAAAAAAUUGGAAAUUUUACAGAAAAAACUACACUCGAGCAAAAAAUAUGAGCAAAAAGAGAUUUUCUCAGGGGAGGUUUUCAGAUGUGAAGAAAGAAAACUUCGCAAAAAAGAAUUUUAUAUAACGAGUUUUCCAACUAAAAUGACAGUGAACAUGACGUGUGAUGUCAACUCUUCUGGACGACAACGUGGGAUUCAAACUCUGAAAUAUUAACGUGGAAUUUUGGACUCUUGGAUAUCUUUACCAUUGGACGCUAUUUUACUGUAAUCUUCUUAAACAGAAAGCGUUUGAAACUUUAAUAGCAUGAGAAUCUCUAACAUUGGGAAUCAAUUUCCAAUUUUGAUAUCGACGUGACAGCGAAGUGGACGUUAAUUGAACAGAAAAAAACUUGUAUUUUUUACUUUUAAAAUUUGUACGUGACAAAUUGCGACCUCAAAUUGACGACAAUGAAGAAUCUGAAAUUUCCUCCUAAAUCGAACACCAUUACGGGAUUCGGCUGAAAUAAUGGUACUGGAUUAUUCGAUCGGGACUGCGACGAGGGACUCUGACGAGACGGCGGCGUGGGACUCGAACGGGACGGCGGCGAGGGACUCUGACGGGACGGCGGCGAGGGACUCGGACGGGACGGCGGCGAGGGACUCGGACGGGACGGCGGCGAGGGACUCGGACGGGUCGGCGGCGAGGGACUCGGACGGGACGGCGGCGAGGGACUCGGACGGGACGGCGGCGAGGGACUCGGACGGGACGGCGGCGAGGGAUUCGGACGGGACGGCGAUGAGGGACUCGGACGACAACAAAGAAUUUUACAAAUGUUUGAAAAUCUAGCUUUAUCAUGGAAUAGGUAUCAUAUGUACCUAUUCCAAUCAAAUUACUUCGAACCAGCUUGAACUUUUUGCAACCCGUCAAUCAAAUUAUAAGCUGAACUCGACGUGCGUUUGAAAAAAAGUUGGAAAUUAUUUUUUAUUAUUAUUUGAUAGAAUUAUGUAAAUGAAAAUUCGACAAAAAAAAUCAUUCAUAUGAUUAAUAUGUCAAAUUCAUCGACUAUGUAUGACAAAAUAAAUGCACAAUUUUAUAUCUGGGAGCAUGAGAAUGAAUAAAAAUGAUACCAACUAUACAUAAA